GAGAAAGAGUUCUUUCUUGGUCCAUUACAAAAUUAAAGGAAAGAAGAACACUUGCAUAAUUUCUUCUUUUCUUUCAUCUUUCUUCAUCUCUUGAUUCACUUGGUGAAGAUCCUUAGAGGCCAUAUCUUUUUGUGGCUUUCCUUACUACAUCAAAGAGAAGAUUACAAGCACAAGAAGGAGUACAAGAAGGAGUUCUUAAUCCAAGGUGCUUCAAGGUGGAGGAAACACACACAAGGAGAGAUCAAGGAGAGGAACUUUGGUGGUUCACUUGGAUCGGAUUGAGAUCACGCUCCAAGGAUUGCAAUAUGUCAGGACACCCUAUCACCAAAAUUCUCAAUGAAAAUCGUCUUGAGGGCCCAAACUUCAAUGACUGGCUCCGCAAUUUGAAAAUUGUAUUGACAUUCGAUAAGAUCGCUUAUGUCUUACAAAAUGCACCCCCUCACACUCUUUUGGCUCAAGAUGCAACCGAUGAGCAACGUGUUGCUUAUCAAAAGCAUAAGGAUGAUGACACGCAAGCUAAAUGUGUUAUGCUUGCAUCCAUGAACUCACAACUUCAGAAGCAACAUGAGAAUAUGGAUAGCGCCAGUUCUAUAUUACUUCAUCUCACUGAAUUGUUUGGUGAGAGAAAUAGAAACGUGCGCUUCACAGUAGUCAAUGAGCUUGUUAAGACAAAGCAUGUGAGGGGUGCACCUGUUCAUUAACAUGGUCUAAAAUUAUAGGCCUUAUUGAGCAAAUUCAAGACCUUGGAUUUGCACUUGAUGCGGAGCUAGCUCAAGAUCUUCUUCUUUCCUCCCUAGAUGAUUCAUUUUCUCAGUUCAUAAUGGACUAUAAUAUGCAACAAAUGGAUCAUACUCUUUCUGAUCUUCUCAAUAUGCUGGUAACAGCUGAGAAGCAAAUUAAGAAAGAGAGUGGGAGUGCGGCUAUUAUCGCUUCUUCUUCAUCCAGUAAGUCCAAAUGUAAAGGCAAAUGGAAGAAGAAACAAGUGAUAAAGCCUAAGGGAGUAGUCCAAAAGAAGAAGAAGAAGGAACAAAAGGAACCAAAAGGUAUUUGUUUCUUUUGCAACAAAGAUGGGCACUGGAAGAGGAAUUGCAAAGCUUAUCUUGCAUCCUUGAAGAAUAAGUCUUCAACAGAAGGACCUAGUGGGAGCAAGGAAGCCUAAAGCUGGAG